AUGGAGGCCCACGACCAAUGUGGAUACGGGUUGGGCCCAACAUACUUGGUUCACGGAAACACAGGUUUACACUCCCAGACGCAGACGCAGACGCUGAGGAAGAAUAACGAAGCAGCAGCACACACACGCACACCCACACUAGAGAGAGAGGCGGGGUCAUUUCUUUGUCAACCAAACCAAACGCCGUCGUCGUCAGCCAUCAGGUACUUGUUGUGCUCCAUUGAUGUACGAAAAUAUGUAUAG
rnacentral:lncRNA from 1 species